UACGUAGGGUGCGAGCGUUGUCCGGAAUUACUGGGCGUAAAGAGCUCGUAGGUGGUUUGUCGCGUUGUUCGUGAAAACUCACAACUCAAUUGUGGGCGUGCGGGCGAUACGGGCAGACUGGAGUACUGCAGGGGAGACUGGAAUUCCUGGUGUAGCGGUGGAAUGCGCAGAUAUCAGGAGGAACACCCGUGGCGAAGGCGGCUCUCUGGGACGGUACUGACGGCUGAGACGCGAAAGCGUGGGGAGCGAACAGG
rnacentral:rRNA from 1 species